rnacentral:rRNA from 1 species
AUUGAACGCUGGCGGCAUGCCUUACACAUGCAAGUCGAACGAUAACAGGUUAAGCUGACGAGUGGCGAACGGGUGAGUAAUGUAUCGGAACGUGCCCAGUCGUGGGGGAUAACUACUCGAAAGAGUGGCUAAUACCGCAUACGACCUGAGGGUGAAAGCGGGGGACCGUAAGGCCUCGCGCGAUUGGAGCGGCCGAUAUCAGAUUAGCUAGUUGGUGGGGUAAAAGCCCACCAAGGCGACGAUCUGUAGCUGGUCUGAGAGGACGACCAGCCAAACUGGGACUGAGACACGGCCCAGACUCCUACGGGAGGCAGCAGUGGGGAAUUUUGGACAAUGGACGCAAGUCUGAUCCAGCCAUGCCGCGUGCGGGAAGAAGGCCUUCGGGUUGUAAACCGCUUUUGUCAGGGAAGAAACGAGUUUCUCUAAUACAGAGACUUAAUGACGGUACCUGAAGAAUAAGCACCGGCUAACUACGUGCUAGCAGCCGCCGCAGUAA